ACCCAAUCCCGACACGGGGAGGUAGUGACAAGAAAUACUGAUACAGGGUCCUAUCGGAUCUUGUAAUUGGAAUGAGUACAAUUUAAACCCAUUAACGAGGAACAACUAGAGGGCAAGUCUGGUGCCAGCAGCCGCGGUAAUUCCAGCUCUAGUAGCAUACAUUAAAAUUGUUGCAGUUAAAACGCCCGUAGUUGAAGUUUGGAUUUAAUCGCCCGGUCCGCCUCACUGCGAGAACUGGCUGCGAUCGAGUCUUUCUUCUUGGUAAACUGCAUAUCCUUUAUUGGGUGUGUUAGUGCACCAGGACUUUUACUUUGAAAAAAUUAGAGUGUUCAAAGCAGGCUUUUGCUCGGAUACCUUAGCAUGGAAUAAUAAAAUAUGACGAGUGGUUGUAUUUGUUGGUUUUCACGACUACCGUAAUGAUUGAUAGGGAUGGUCGGGGGCAUCGGUAUUCGAUCGUCA
rnacentral:rRNA from 1 species